UUUUAUCAAAUUUGGUUUUUAUAUACAUAACAGGGUCCUAAAAUUCAAAAUCAAAUAGCUAAAUGAGCCAUGGGAUAACCAUCUUAAAACAAUUCCAUAUGUUAGUUUGUUCGACAUUUCAGGUGACUGCUAAGUGACUGAUGUACAUAAAACCCAUCACAUCAUAAAUAACUAUCAGUCAGUCAAUUUACCCAUGAUACAUUACGGUAUCGAUCCGCUCAAACACAGCCAAUGCCUUUUGUGGACAAGGCAAGGAGAGAAGAUGCAAGGAAUCAAUGAAAGAUGAAUUGAGAAAGAGGCCCACCCCACAUUGUCACAGUUCUUCCCCACCCUAUGCAUGUACUAGUUAACUCUCGAUAAAUAAAAUAAAAAAGACUUGGUCGACUUAUACCAGUUUAACAUGUUUUAUUAUUUUACAUCAAGAAGUUGAUAUAUAAACCCAUUUCAAAACACCCAGUUAUAAUAAGCCAUUCAAACUCUUCACAUAUUUACAGGAGCCAAAUAGAAAAGAAAAAAACAUAUGAAUAAUACAUUACACCUGCUGCCACUGUUCUGUUGGGUUCAGUAGAACAGUCAGUAACCACACGGUGUGCUGCCGCCUCCCAAAACAUCACAACAAUAGUUAUUUAUCUUUUCCCCCAAAAAAAGGAAGUGAUGUCAGAAGCUAAUAGAAGUGUUUAGUCUCGUCCAUGUGUUGAGCAAUAGACUGUAAUCAAUAGAUUGGUUUCUGAACAAGCAGACGCAGGAUUGUUGGUUGGGGACAGAUGGGUCAAUUCAUAUUAAUACAUGUAAUACGUUCCUAACCUCUUUAUAAAAUAUGAGUCCCAAGUGGCACCCUGGCCUAUUCCUUAUAGUGAACCCAAAUGGGGCCCUGGUCCCAAGUAGUACACAAGGAACCAUUUGGGACAAGGACUCGUCAACUCAUCCCAGAGAGAUAUACAAAGAGUGAACAUUAAAAUGUGCAUUAAACUAUAAUAUUGAUUAAAGUCAAAUACAUUAGGAGAAAAAAAAAGGAAAAAAAAAGAUGAAUAGUCAAUUUUAAAUAUGGAAUGUUGUUUAGGCCUUAUGGCUCAAAUAGGUUGUUGUUGUUUAGACCUUAUGGCUAAUAUGUUCAAACAGGUUGUUGAUGUUGAUGUUGUUUAGGCCUUAUGGCUAAUAUGUUCAAACAGGUUGUUAUUGUUUGUAUUAUAGUAAAUUCAAGCAGUAAUAUGGACAUGAAAAAUAACCUUUGCACAUUGCAGACACAAUUGUCUCAAAUGGCAACCUAAUCCCUACAUACAGGGCUAGAUUAAUGCAGGGGCUUACCGGGGCUGAAGCCCCGGGGCCCAGGCCCGUGUGGGCCCCCCCCCCCAAGACACUUAUAUACAGUAUAUAUAUUAGAUAGAGAUCUUUUUUACUGCAACCGCCAACCACAGGAGGAUUCAGGAGCCCGCUGUCAAUGAGUUUUAGACAGCCUGCUGCCGCUCUGCUAAUUAUCAGACGGGGGAGAGAAGAGGAGGCAGGGGCGUCCACGUGGGUAACUUGGGGGGGAGGGCCUGCCUUGAUUGUGUAACUGAUUAAUAAAAUAAACUGCAUAAUAAAUAAAUAAAUGUGACGGGUCAAUUGUGUGAGUCAGGGGGCUGGGCCCAAGAGGCAAAAAAAUUAAAAAAAAUAUUGAGUUAUAAAAAAUAAAAAAAAAUCUAUCCAAUCACAGGAGCGUGCUCUCAAUGUUCAAAAUACACCAGAGAACAUAAUUUAGUCGCAGAGGAGCAAUAGUUAAAAUUUAUAAUAACUGGUUAAAAUUUGAUCAAAUACAGGUAAUUGCCAAAAUAAAGGAAACACCUACAUAAACGUCUUAAAUGGGUGUUGUGUCACCACGAGCUGCCAGAACAGCUUCAAUGCACCUUGGCAUAGAUUCUACAAGUGGACCUGGACCAUGCCAGGAAAAUGCACCCCCACACAAACUUUUGUAUCCCCCUCAUUUACUCAAGGGGUUUCCUUUAUUUGGGCAGUUACCGGUUGCCUACAACACGCUCUCUAAAUAUACAUGUUGUUGCGUCGUGGCCGUAGACAUAUAAUCCAUAGAAGAGGUUUUGGAAACUCUUAACCCCUGGAAGUUUGACUGUUAAACUCACUAGGGGUUUUGGGUUUUAAGUGACAAGUGCAAAAGCAAAAAAGACUAGCAAUAUUUUUUUUUUGUGUGUGUGUGUUAAAUAUCUAAACAUUUUUGUAUAGUUAAUAUCCCUGCAUAACAUCAGUUCUCACAGCUUCACGAGUCAUUCCUUGACCCCCGCAAUGUCACUGUGGCCCAAAUUACACCCUAUUCCCUUUAUAGUGCACUACUUUGACCAGAGCCCACAUAGGGUAGGUAGUGCACUACUUUUGACCAGGGUUCACAUAGAGUUGUGCACUAUAGAGGGAAUAAGAUGCCAUUUGGGACGCAAACCCCUAGACCAUUGACCAAUAGAAGAGAAGCAGGAAGUAGCAGGUUGGUUCCAGGCACUUCUUCAGUCCAAAGUAAAUACAAAUAAAAACAAAGAAUAUAUUAACUAUGCGACCAUCCUGCCAGGUCUCAUAUAGUGUCCGCCUUCAUAAGUCCUUAAGGCUUUAGUUUAGAGACACUUCCUGGUCAAUCAAUCAAAUCGGUCAACCCAAAAGACCCCUGAACUUUUGGAUUUGAGGGUCAGGGUUCAAAGGUCAUAGGUUACUCCUAUGACCAUGGGAGACAGAACAUGGAAGAACGGUCAAAACACUUUAAAUGUUCUCCGUCUUCUGUUGUAACCACCGGUCAACUUCAGUCACAUCCCAGGCUAGUCAGCAAGUCAUGUAAGAGUUAACGCUUGAAGAACCCUCUUCAAUAAGGUAGCAGGGGUUGAGAGGUGUCUUCUGUUUGUAGCCCGCCUCAGAUUGCCAGCCUCAGUCACAAGGGGGAGACCUGGCACGGCUGUCCCAGACUAGCCAGCAAGUCAUGUUAAGAGUCCUGUAAACCCUGGUCGUCCCUCAGUAAGGUAGCAGGGUCGAAAGGGGUUCAACACUCCUAGCAGCACAUCCAAACAUGUCCUCUUGUCUAUAAGCUUCACCA
rnacentral:lncRNA from 1 species